GUCAUCAUCAAUAAACACAGAAAUGUCUUCCCCUCCUCCUCCCUGUUUGUCCUCAAUCCUCAGUUGGCAUCAGCUAAGCGAUCAAACAGGUUUUUUCUUUUCAGCUGUGAAGACAACACAAUUGGAUUAAACACAUACGAGAUAAUGGCUUCUCUGUAACUGUGAUUGAACAAGCCGCCCGGGGAGAUGAUCAAUUCUACUCAAACUGGAAAAGUCUGUGCUUGGACUCAUGUAACGCAGACACCUUUCCCUCUUCCUCGAGCCCGUCGUAACAUCUGGAUCUUAACAUGGGGGAGGUUUAAUCAGGGGCAACCAUCAGGACAGGAGGGGAGCGCGUGCUGAAUCCAUUAAAUAUGGAUUAGAGUGGUAAUCGCGGGAGAGCGGGACAGGAGGGCAGAGGGUUGUGGGAGAACAGCCAGGUGGGCGAGCUGCUGUGACCCGAACCACGACAGGGAGACAGAGAGAGAGAGUCAGCACUGAUGACUGUGCUGCUGAGACGAACGGAUGGCACCACGAGUGAUUUGUCUCGUCUGAAUCUUCCUCUCCAUUAUGGUCCUCAUCAUCCUUCUGCGCUUUCAGUUUCUCUUUCUCUGAAGAGUGAUUAGCUGACUAGCUGCAGGGGGUAAACUGCUAAGCUGGAAAACAAUGGGAGAAAAUUCAGAAUAACAACACUUCACUUCAGGCUCUUCUCUGUUUUUGUAUUUGCUUUGCAGUUUUUAUGUUUUUUUUUAUUUUCUGUAUGUACAAAUGCUUACAGUGCACCCUUUGUGUGUGUGUGUGCAUUUAUAUAUUAUAGAGUGAAAUUAGAGACUGCUGUGCAAAUUCCAUGCCUGUAUCCAAGUCUCUGUAAAAUUAUAUACUUUCAUAUUUUAAGUUCUAAAGUACACACUGAUGUGCUUUAGUAAUUGUGGGUAUAAUUGUCAUGUAUGUACAUGUAAAAACCUCUUUCUUUAUCUUGUUUAUUUUUAUUUUUCCACACUGCUGUAAGAAAUGAACUUACAUUCAAUAUGAAGCACAAUACAUCAAGUAAAGACUACAGAUGUUGAAGCUACAGUUCUGCUCUGAACAUUAAGUAAAACACCAUCAAGAUGCGGUAACACAAAAGCCGCGUCUAUCAGGAGGAGACAAGCUGGAAAGUUGGUCCUUGCACAACCUUCUGUGUCAACGCAAGAAGCGGCGUGACAUGACAGAGUGCAGUGAAACAUAAAAAUGUGAAGGUCAAGGUGGUGGAUGAAAGUAGAUGUGUUUGUCUUGCACACCAGGGGUCCUGCCUCAUCCGAAUGGACGGCCAACAUGACCACGAUAUCUUCCUGACCUUAAAGAACAGGUUCAGGUUUGUUCGCAUCUAUCUGCAUUCAAAGAAAGUAAAAGCUGUGGUCGCUGCAACCCUUUCUCCUCUCCAUACAGGUGGGAAGUGAUCCUGUACUGUUGAGACUCCACUGUAAGAGACAGGGUAAGGAUGCACAAAUACUCAUUCUGUGGGAAAAUGCAUUCUCAAAUUCAGCCAGAGGCAGAACAAGUCGUCAGCUGUUUCCUUGCUGAGCUGCGGGGAGGAAAAGUAACACCAUUGACUUUUUGUGCUAAUUCUGCAUUAAAAAACUAAGACGUAACUAAAUUGUGCUAUUUGACUAAUUCAGACUGCUGAAGCAAGAAAGGGGACAGUGGUUUGUGUAUUUCAUCUUUUACAGCUGCAAGGGGCGAUUUCAUGGUCAGUCCGGACAAGAAGAAUCACAGAAACCAACAGGAAUGGAUAUCUAGAACCAGCAGUGAAAGUGGUGCUGUGCCCUGACUGCUGCCAUUUUCAGACUCCUAACUGUCCCCGAGUGACGACGAAGCUGCCGACAUCAGGCGAUUAUGUUCGGUGUUGCAAACUUCUAUGUUUACAUUCUGUGCUCUGUAGUCAUGGCUGACAGGGUGAAAUGUUCAAAAGUGGGCUCCAUUUACUGAACUGUAUGAAAAUGCAAGCUAUGAUAAGAUUAUACUGUCAUUGCACAGUCACUUAUACAAUCAAACUGAAUGUCAAUUAAGUGUCAUAUUGAGUGAGCACUGCAUUAAAGGACAAGGCUGCUGA